rnacentral:lncRNA from 1 species
ACUGAGUAUACUGGGCCCAGCCAGAUUCUCUGGGUGCUUUCUUCUUUCUUAGUUCCCCCUUUAUUGUGGGCCCUCCUCAGUGCCAACAUUGCUUUGUCUCUCGCUGGAGAAGCCUGUGAGAACGAGGAUGGGCAAAGUGUCAGGCUCUUGGUGCAGCUGAAAAUCCUUUGAGAUGGAAGAAAUGGCUGGAACAAAGGGGCAGAGGAACAAAAAGCCCUGAACUGCUUCGCCCCUGCCUCGUGGGGUCUUUAUCAUCUUAAACCUUGGGAUUUGGGCUUUGAUCAACUCGGCCUUCCUGGGCCUCGGGGAGAGAGACGGACUGCCUCCGGGUGCUCAUGACCUUUCCAGCAGUAAGCCAAUAAUGUAUGACUCCUGCGUUGCCGUUGCUCGUUUGAGAACAAAUGGAGAGACCUCGUUCAGUCGAUGGAUGGUAGCAACAAGGAAGAAAGCAAAUGGAGAAAUGACAUCUCAUGACCCAGGUGAAGCCUACUGUUACUAUUUGGCUAAAAUAAGCCACAUAGCUUGUGUUGAAGAAUCUUUUUUAUUUCUUUAAGAAGAAUUUGGUGCCCAUGAAAGUGAUCAAAGUUUUUUGUUCUCCAGUGACAUCAAGCAGGAGAAAAGGAUAUACUCUCCAUUGUGUGGUCUGUGGACUGGCAGCAUCAUCAUGGGUGAGAAAUGAAAAACGUGGGGUCUUCCCUCACAUGGAUCAGUAUCUGCAGUUUCACAAGCUCCCGAGGGGUGAGUGCACAUGAAGGAUUGAGUAUUGCUCCAAAUAACCAGACCAACAAGGGAGGAUGCCUUUGGUGGAAGCCAAAGUUACUGCCUAAAAGACCAGUUUACUACAAAUAGGUAAGAAGAAACCUGC